rfam:Nasonia vitripennis chromosome 5 unlocalized genomic scaffold Chr5_random003, whole genome shotgun sequence.
CAAUCGGCCCUUUUCAGGGCCACAAAAAUAUUCAAACGUAUUCGC